UACGUAGGGUGCGAGCGUUGUCCGGAAUUAUUGGGCGUAAAGAGCUCGUAGGCGGUGUGUCACGUCGGCCGUGAAAACCUGCAGCUUAACUGUGGGCGUGCGGUCGAUACGGGCAUCACUGGAGUUCGGCAGGGGGAGACUGGAAUUCCUGGAUGUAGCGGUGAAAUGCGCAGAUAUCAGGAGGAACACCGGUGGCGAAGGCGGGUCUCUGGGCCGGAUGACUGACGUGAGGAGCGAAAGCGUGGGGAGCAAACAGG
rnacentral:rRNA from 1 species